CUUAUUUUCCGCGACAACAAGGGUGGCGCCAUUACGUUCGUUUUGUCAUCUUACUUCCGGUUGAGGGACCUAAGCUAGUAGUCGCUAGCGGUAAUCCUAUAGCUGUAACGGUAGAUGAGUAUUAUAUGCUCAGUUAGGGGCUGUCAUAACAAUUAGAUUAAGAAGAGAGAACAGUUGAAACGGCAUCAACGAUGUUACGAAUACAAUGUGAAGCGGUCCGAGUGUUGUGGUGCACUUUACAAUUUACACCCACCACCUUAAGACGAGGAGCACCUGAGGCAAUGGCUGAAGGCGCUAAACUUGAAGUGACCACCCAAGCGCCCUUAUGUGUGUUCGUACCAUUUCAUGGACGGGAGGCCGACUGACAAACACCCUUUCCCCGAAAAAUGGCUCGGCAACGAUGUUCCGGUAAAUAAGUCACGGCGGAUGCUGAACAGGUUGUCAGAUUCAGAUGCAUCGAUGAGCGUCAGUGAUCAACUGUGAGGAUGAUCACAUCCACAUACCCUGAACUGUGAUGCAGAAACACACUGGGAGGAUCCAUCUGUCUCUGACCACAACUACACUUCAAAAUCACAUCUCAAUCUGAAGCCUCCUACAUCUGAUAUGAGAAUGAAAUGCGUUGAGCUGGCGCCAUUGUACUGUUGCUCAACUCUGCUGAGAAACAACCACCAUUCAUUCAGUCGGCGAGCACCUUACCAAUAUAUACACCAACAGUUUCCAGCUACACACUUGGGAUCAGCUCCUGAUGACUCUGAUGGAGCUGUGUCGUAAUUUAUUGCAGGGUGAUCAUUAGGGUGGUAUAGGGUGGUCAUAUCAGGAUGAUAAUUUAUCUAUAUCAGCACUGGAGUAAACAGUGAUGUCAUCAUCCAGCUAAGUUCAGUUCGCAUACAAUGUUGUCAAUGCAGACAGAUCAAAACACUGUUGAAUAUCAAAGGAAGGUGAAACUUGUCAUUCCAGCAUUCACCAAGAGUUUAGGUAUGAUUUUAGGUAUGUUUGUCUGUGCUGUGGUUUUGCUUUAACUAAUCAGUGUAAAUAGUGUAUGUAGAUAUUUUUAUGAACCUUUACAAUAUGACCAAAUGUUGUCUAUCUUAAAAUUAUUUCUAUAAACCUUUACAAUAUGAUCAUA